rnacentral:misc_RNA from 1 species
UGCAUCUCAUACAUGUGUAAGUUUCAUUGAAAUUCUUGCCGUGACAGUAGUAAACAUGUAUUUAACCAUCAUUUCCAAGUUGCAUAAUUUUUCUCUGUUAAAUCGCAAAUUUUUUUUAUGGAUGUUGCCUUUGUUGACUGUAUCAUGAUCUAUCUUUGCUGCAUAAUUUGUUUAAUUUUCUGUUGUAUUGUAAAUUUUACAAUAAAAAUAAAAAAGGAAAGGGGAAACUAAGUUGUUUGUUUUGAAGUAUCUUUUUCUCCGAUAAAAAAUAAUUUGAUGGACUAUUUUAGAAUUAAAUGUGCAA